AUUGAACGCUGGCGGCAGGCCUAACACAUGCAAGUCGAACGAGCGGCGGACGGGUGAGUAAUGUCUGGGAAACUGCCUGAUGGAGGGGGAUAACUACUGGAAACGGUAGCUAAUACCGCAUACCAUCGGAUGUACCCAGAUGGGAUUAGCUAGUAGGUGGGGUAAAGGCUCACCUAGGCGACGAUCCCUAGCUGGUCUGAGAGGAUGACCAGCCACACUGGGACUGAGACACGGUCCAGACUCCUACGGGAGGCAGAAGUGGGGAAUAUUGCACAAUGGGCGAAAGCCUGAUGCAGCCAUGCCGCGUGUGUGAAGAAGGCCUUCGGGUUGUAAAGUACUUGCAGCGGGGAGGCGUUACCCGCAGAAGAAGCACCGGCUAACUCCGUGCCAGCAGCCGCGGUAAUAC
rnacentral:rRNA from 1 species